rnacentral:ncRNA from 1 species
UAAGUCACGAUGAGAAAGAAGAGUAACAACAAAUGCUUUUAUAGAGAGAUGGUGGGUGGUGUAAAUCAUUAAAGAGUUGUUGUGAAGGGAGCUUUUGAGUGGAAUUUUUGAAAGAUGGGCUAUUGCCAAUAAGGGUGGAACCGCGGAAUUAUUUUCGUCCCUUAA